UGGACCUGUAGAACAUGGACAUUAUCAAACAUAGUCUCUCCAGCUUGUUACUAUUUCUGCUCUGGAACAAAGGUCUUAUUGAUGGGAGUGAUGUCAACCAGACACCCAUACUGUGGAGAAAACAGGGUGACAAUGCAACAAUACACUGCAACCACACUAAGGGCACCUACUACAACCAGAUGUACUGGUACAGACAGCUGCCUGGAGAAACAAUGAAGCAAAUUGUGUUCACAACAACAGCCACACCAAAUCACGACUUUGGAGAUUUCAGCAAAGACAAAUUCUCAGCCACUAAACCUAAUGCUGAGACUGGAACAUUCACAGUGAAGAAUGUGGAGCUCGGAGAUAAAGGCUCGUAUUUCUGUGCUGUAAGUGAACACAGUGAUACAGACACAUGUGAGAGCUGA